UUUCAACAACGGAUCUCUUGGUUCUGGCAUCGAUGAAGAACGCAGCGAAAUGCGAUACGUAGUGUGAAUUGCAGAAUUCAGUGAAUCAUCGAAUCUUUGAACGCACAUUGCGCCCUUUGGUAUUCCAAAGGGCAUGCCUGUUCGAGCGUCAUUUGUA
rnacentral:rRNA from 1 species